GGAUGUGAGGGCCAUCUGACUACGACAUCUGUUACCCCACUGAUUGCCAAGGUUGAUUCGACUGAUCUGGCUGGCUAGGCAGGUGUCCCUUCCUCUCUCAGUGCUCCACAUCUCCACAUGCACCCUCCCAAAGCUGUGCUCAGUCAAAGAGGACGACCUUGCCUGAUAGAGGAUGACCGGUCUUCAGUCAAGGGUAUACAAGUAGCUGUGUUCCCCUGCUAGAACCUCUAAACAAGCUCUCAAAAUACAGUGUGGAUAGUACCUGAGAAAUAACACCCAAGAUUAACAUCUGGCC
rnacentral:snRNA from 1 species